CUGCACAGAGAACACCCAAGCUUACUUUGUAGUUCCCUUGGCUCAUAGUCUGUGCUAGAGUAAUAGCUGCUCUUUUCCUCUGCAUUGGAAGGAAUAUCUAUCCUUUUAUAUGUAUUCAGAAGGGCUGCACAUUU
rnacentral:snoRNA from 15 species